GACGAACGCUGGCGGCGUGCUUAACACAUGCAAGUCGAACGGAAAGGCCCUGCUUUUGUGGGGUGCUCGAGUGGCGAACGGGUGAGUAACACGUGAGUAACCUGCCCUUUACUUUGGGAUAACUUCAGGAAACUGGGGCUAAUACCGGAUAGGAUCUCCUGCUGCAUGGUGGGGGUUGGAAAGUUUCGGCGGUUGGGGAUGGACUCGCGGCUUAUCAGCUUGUUGGUGGGGUAGUGGCUUACCAAGGCUUUGACGGGUAGCCGGCCUGAGAGGGUGACCGGCGACAUUGGGACUGAGAUACGGCCCAGACUCCUACGGGAGGCAGCAGUGGGGAAUAUUGCACAAUGGGCGGAAGCCUGAUGAAGCAACGCCGCGUGCGGGAUGACGGCCUUCGGGUUGUAAACCGCUUUCGCAUGUGACGAAGAGUGAGUGACGGUAAUGGGUAAAGAAGCACCGGCUAACUACGUG
rnacentral:rRNA from 1 species